UACAGAGGGUGCGAGCGUUAAUCGGAAUUACUGGGCGUAAAGCGUGCGCAGGCGGUGGCUCAAGCCAGGCGUGAAAUCCCCGGGCUUAACCUGGGAAUGGCGUUUGGGACUGGGUCGCUAGAGUGUGGCAGAGGGAGGUGGAAUUCCAUGUGUAGCAGUGAAAUGCGUAGAGAUGUGGAGGAACACCGAUGGCGAAGGCAGCCUCCUGGGCCAGCACUGACGCUCAUGCACGAAAGCGUGGGGAGCAAACAGG
rnacentral:rRNA from 1 species